UACGUAGGUGGCAAGCGUUGUCCGGAUUUACUGGGCGUAAAGAGCGCGCAGGCGGUCGUUCAAGUCGCGUGUGAAAGCCCCCGGCUCAACUGGGGAGGGUCACGCGAUACUGAUCGACUCGAAGGCAGGAGAGGGAAGUGGAAUUCCCGGUGUAGUGGUGAAAUGCGUAGAUAUUCGGAAGAACACCAGUGGCGAAGGCGACUUACUGGACGACUGUUGACGCUGAGGUGCGAAAGCGUGGGGAGCAAACAGG
rnacentral:rRNA from 1 species